AUGACUACUAAUCCCAGAUAUGAAAGUCGACCAGAUACUUUUGUUGCUUACUCUGCCAACUUCUUCAAACACCUUCUCGGACAACUCAAUAGCCCCAAUAUUAGCAUAUGUGCAGAUCAAAGCCUCCUUGACAACGUAAUCCAAGUACAGCUCUGUCUUUAUGAUCAUUCCAUGGAUCUGGCUAGCCUCUCGUAUCAUGUGCAUCUGGGAGCAGGCGAGCAAGAUGCUAGUAGCCGUGUAUUUGUUGAUCGACACGCCACUCCGGACCAUAUCUCUGAGCAGCCGAACAGCGCCUACUGGCUCCUCCUGCUGCACAAAACCAGCGAUCGCGGUGGUCCAGGAUACCACAUUCCAGACCGGCAUCCUCCAGAACUCCCUCAUGGCAGCGACCAUAUCACCCGACUUCGCAUACAUGUUGACGAUCGCCGUCCCAAUGAACACAUCGUACUCGGGGUCACGCCGAAGCACCAGCCCAUGCACUGCCUUCCCGACGCACAGCUCCGCACCUGCCGCACAGGCACUGAGGACACCGGAGUAAGUGAAGGAGUUGGGCUCGCAGGAGCCCCAUGCCAUGUCGCCGAACAUCUCGACGGCGAGACCGUGCUCGCCGUUGCGCGUGGCCCCGGAGAUGACCGCGUUCCAGCAGACCACGCUCCCGCGGUCGCCGUCCGCGAACGCCCUGAGCGCGUCCCCGAGGCGGCCGCUCUUGGCGAGCAGGUCGACCAUGCCGCUGCAGACGUAGGCGUCGCCCGCGAGCCCGUCCUUCCAGGCGGCGCAGUAGAGCUGCUCCGCGAAGGCGACACUGCCCGCCCCGGCGCCCGUGGCGGCCGGGGCGCAGGCCGCGAGCGCGUUUCCGUAGGCGAACUGGCUGGGCGUGUGCCCCGCGGCGCGCGAGCGGACGAAGCCCGCGAGCUCGGGCGGGAGCCGCCCGAGGCGGUCCGGGCGCGGCACUCCGUCGAGCAGGUGGGGGACACCGGCCCGGGUGGCGGAGGAGAGCGUGCGUAUGUGGGCGGAGAGGGCGGGGGAGGGGAGGCGUGGAGGCAUCGAGACGGCGGAGGGCAGAGACGGCGUGGGGUGGGGAUGCAACCGGAGUGA
rnacentral:rRNA from 1 species